rnacentral:rRNA from 1 species
CCCAACCGCAAGGAGGGAGCUGUCUAAGGUGGGACUGAUGAUUGGGGUGAAGUCGUAACAAGGUAUCCCUACGGGAACGUGGGGAUGGAUCACCUCCUUUCUAGGGAGA